UCCCUGAUAGCUCAGCUGGUGAAGAAUCUAUCUGCAAUGUAGGAGACCCUGGUUCAAUUCCUGGGUUGGGAA
rfam:TPA: Bos taurus chromosome 18, whole genome shotgun sequence.